UCCACAGUAGCUCAAUGGAAGAGCAGGCGGCUGUUAACCGCCAGGUUGGGGGUUCGAAUCCCUCCUGUGGAG
rnacentral:tRNA from 2 species